AUUGAACGCUAGCGGGAUGCCUUACACAUGCAAGUCGACCGGAGUGGCGAACGGGUGAGUAAUGUAUAGGAACGUGCCCAGUAGCGGGGGAUAACUACGCGAAAGCGUAGCUAAUAACGCAUACUAUUAGAGCGGCCGAUAUCGGCUUAGCGAGUUGGUGGGGUAACGGAUCACCAGGGCGACUAUCCUGAGCUGGUUUGAGAGGACGACCCGCCACACUGGGACGGAGACACGGCCCAGACUCCUACGGUAGGCAGCAGUGGGGAGUUUUGGACAAUGGGGGAAACGCUGAUCCAGCCAGCCCGCGUGUGCAAUGAAGGCCUUCGGGUUGUAAAGCACUUUUGGCAGGAAAACGGUAGCUGCAGAAUAAGCACCGGCUAACUACGUGCCAGCAGCGGCGGUAAUUC
rnacentral:rRNA from 1 species